UACGUAGGGGCCGAGCGUUGUCCGGAGUUAUUGGGCGUAAAGCGCGCGCAGGCGGCCUCGCGCGCCCGACGUGAAAGCCCCCGGCUUAACCGGGGAGAGUCGUUGGGGACGGCGGGGCUUGAGGGCGGGAGAGGUCGGUGGAAUUCCCGGUGUAGUGGUGAAAUGCGUAGAGAUCGGGAGGAACAUCAGUGGCGAAGGCGGCCA
rnacentral:rRNA from 1 species